rnacentral:rRNA from 1 species
UUUUUAUGGAGAGUUUGAUCCUGGCUCAGGAUGAACGCUGGCGGCGUGCCUAAUACAUGCAAGUCGAGCGAACAGACGAGGAGCUUGCUCCUCUGACGUUAGCGGCGGACGGGUGAGUAACACGUGGAUAACCUACCUAUAAGACUGGGAUAACUUCGGGAAACCGGAGCUAAUACCGGAUAAUAUAUUGAAUCGCAUGGUUCAAUAGUGAAAGACGGUUUUGCUGUCACUUAUAGAUGGAUCCGCGCCGCAUUAGCUAGUUGGUAAGGUAACGGCUUACCAAGGCAACGAUGCGUAGCCGACCUGAGAGGGU